CAAAAAAAAAAAAACGUUGAAGACAAAAACAAAAAAAGCUCGGCCAUGGAGCAAUGUUAACCGAGAGGGAGAUUGGAGAAAAAGAAAAAUUUGAGGUGUGAAAUUGUUGUAACAUUCAAGUGAUUAGCAAGGUUAAGAAGCCAAGUUGAUUAAGGCUAAAAGAGCGACGAGACGAACGGGUUACGAAUAGCCGCUAACAGUAUGCUGUGUUGUGGCGCCAGUGACGGGGUGGCGACCACGUUCUGUUCACCGAGUCCUAAAACGGGGCCGGAUAUGGCAUAUGGUUGACAUGCAUUAUCUAUGUUUUGUGAGUACAGACGUUCGUUCAGGUAACCCGCCAGUGUAGGGUACUUAUUCUGCUGUUUGGAGUACUCCUUUUGAUCCGGAGCUCAUAUUUUUGGUACCUAUCUUUUGUGAUACAUGUUUCUGUAUAUCUGAUUAUUUGGGGUACGGCGGGGCCCUGUCCCGCCAUAUAAUUCUGUCAUGGUUUGUAGAGGCCUGUAGACAUAUAUGUGGGUCAUGGGUUAUGUUUGUUCGAAUAUGUUUGUGAUUUGUGCCUUAAGCGGUCCCGUUUGCUAUUAUGGCCAAGACGGCCCAUCUGUUUGUAUAUGUAUGUAUAUCUGGGCGAUGUGUAUUCCGCCAGCCUACCGGAUUUGAUUUGAUGUUUCUGUACGGGCAACCACUUAAGAUGACAUUUGUUCUCAGUAUCUGAUUAAAAUAACGUAUGUUAAGUUUGAAUAAAUCUUUGGUAUGUCGAUCUGGUACGAGAUUCUGUUAGGGUGUCCAAAUAGGGCGCUAGUCGCGGCCCACGGGGCUGGGUCGUGACAGGAAGAAAAGGAAGAAGUAGCUCAGAACAAUGGAAAAGGCUGUAGUUGUA